GACGAACGCUGGCGGCAUGCUUAACACAUGCCAGUCGAACGGCAACGCCCUGCUUUGGUGGGGUGCUCGAGUGGCGAACGGGUGAGUAACACGUGAGUAACCGGCCCGUGACUUUGGGAUAACUUCAGGAAGCUGGGGCUAAACCCGGAACGGACCACCUGCUGCAGGGUGGGGGUUGGAAAGCUUCGGCGGUUGGGGAUGGACAGGCGGCUUAUCCGCUUGGUGGGGGGGUAGGGGCAGACCGAGGGCUAGCCGGGUAGCCGGCCUGAGAGGGGGACCGGCCACAAUGGGCCUGAGAGACGGCCCAGACGCCUACUGGAGGCAGCAGUGGGGAGUAUUGCACAAUGAUCGGAAGCCUGAUGCAGAGGCGCCGCGGGUGGGAUGACGGUCUUCGCGUUGUAAACCGCUUUCGCCUGUGACGGUGCGUGAGUGACGGUAAUGGGUGAAGAAGCACCGGCUAACUACGUG
rnacentral:rRNA from 1 species